UUUAUUACCAACAUCGUUGGCAUCCCUGAGUAUGAGAGUUCAGAAGAAACUUAGAGGCUAUUGUCUGAUUCAAUCCUUGCAGCUUACAAAAAGAAAUGUGGGGAGCAGUCACUGUGUGACUAGCCUGAGGUCACUCAGGAAGUUAGAGGCAGAACUGCAGCCAGGGUCACCUCUCUUUACUGCUACUAGUGUGCUCCUUCUACUGCACCCUGAUCAUAAAACAUCUCCCAACCCAGGAACAAGGUCUACCGCAUAGGUGGGCACAGCAGCGUGAUCACUCUCUCAGUCGUCUGUACUCCUCCUUUGCUUUGACCAAAGACACAGGAAGGGACCUUUUGCCCCACAUAAAACACCUCUCAGAGGCUUGGCAACAACAACAGAUAAUAGAGAGCAUUGACCUAAGACCAACAUUUCAACCAUGGUGUCAAAACAAUAUUUUAUUUCAGCAAAGAAAAACUAUGUCACAAGUGGAUUAUUAUUACUAAUAAUCAGACUAGUGGUACUUGCGAAUGACUUGGUUUCAUACUCACACUUGGACAACUAUGCACACUGAGUAUAACUGACCUUAUGAGAACAUCAUUCUCACUAAGAUUAUGAUGUGCUUUCUCACGUGGGAACUGUACAUAAUAUUGCGUGUACACUUGGGAGGAUGUCCUGCCUGUGAUGUUGUCUUUCAGGGGAAGAAGAAUGGUUGAGAACUGAGGGUAUAUUAAACAUUUACUCCUCCAGAUUUUUCAAGAUUUCUGUUAAGCCAGAUCAGAAGAAAGCCAUCUAUUUGGAUUGCAUCACUCUAACCUGGAAAUACCAAUAUUUUCUAAGCAUGGCAAGUGUUUCCAAGCAUUCAGAAGUGGAGAGUGUAGGAAAUCCACUGCAGAAUGAGGUCUGCUCGUCAUCCUCUCAGUCUCAACUGCUCUCCCUCCUUCAUCUCUCUCUGUUUCAUUGGAGGCUCCCUCAUCCUCUGGCUUCAGGUUAGGUUCAGCCUGUGGAGAACCCUGUAAGAAGGCAGAAAGGAAGAGGAGAAAAGGGUCAUGGUGUUUAUUCUGUUGGUCUCUUCCCCAUGAGGCUGUCUUCCCUACAUGUGUCUCUUUACAGAAGGUCACUUUUGUUCUCCAGGUGGUCUGAUCUUCUACUCCUUCUUUUUCCAUGUUUUGUUUUUAUCCUCACUGAGCGCCAGUUCCAGAUUUAUUGCUUACAAUUCUUUCAUGCUCCUUCCUUUGUAUGGAAGCAUUCCUCAAAUUAUUCUUAGUUGUAUUUACCAACUGUUUUCUGUUGAAAUUCUGACUAAUCCAGAAUAUAAAACUUUUUAGAGUCCAGUCAUUCUUUGCCAUGUUCUGUUUCCCCCCAUCUCUGUGGCUAUGAAAACAUGUAUCAAAUAUUUUACCUGACUCGCAGGAAGGGGAAGUCCCACUGCUUUGCCUGUUUUGGAUAGGUAGCAUCAGUUAAACUAAACCUUUCAUAAACUACUGAUACAUCAGUGGUUUCUUGUUACAUAGAAUGAACAGUAUUCACCAGAAUAACAUCCUGACUAGCAAACACAUCAAUUGCCACUCGAUGUUCUAAGUGUUAUGAGUAAAAUAAAAACUGAAUAAAGAUUUUGCCCUCAGGAUGUUUAUGUUCUCCUACGUGAGAAAGAUAAUUAAAAAUACAAAAUAUAAUAUCAAUUUUUGAAUCAUAAGUGUUACGCAGAAAGUGAAUUAGGGUAAAUUUCCAUGCUUGUAGUUUUGCUUAUGGUUUACUAUUUGUAUUCAUUUUUUAGGACUGUCAUACAAAAUACCACAAACUGGGUAGCUUAAAACAUCAAAAGCUUAUUCUCUCAGUUUUGGAGGUCAGAAAUUCAAAAUCAAGAUGUUAGCAAUACCAUGCUCCCUCUGA
rnacentral:lncRNA from 1 species